rnacentral:rRNA from 1 species
UGGGGAAUAUUGCACAAUGGGCGCAAGCCUGAUGCAGCCAUGCCGCGUGUAUGAAGAAGGCCUUCGGGUUGUAAAGUACUUUCAGCGGGGAGGAAGGGAGUAAAGUUAAUACCUUUGCUCAUUGACGUUACCCGCAGAAGAAGCACCGGCUAACCCCGUGCCAGCAGCCGCGGUAAUACGGAGGGUGCAAGCGUUAAUCGGAAUUACUGGGCGUAAAGCGCACGCAGGCGGUUUGUUAAGUCAGAUGUGAAAUCCCCGGGCUCAACCUGGGAACUGCAUCUGAUACUGGCGAGCUUGAGUCUCGUAGAGGGGGGUAGAAUUCCAGGUGUAGCGGUGAAAUGCGUAGAGAUCUGGAGGAAUACCGGUGGCGAAGGCGGCCCCCUGGACGAAGACUGACGCUCAGGUGCGAAAGCGUGGGGAGCAAACAGG